UCUAAGCGAUUGAACAUUUAUAUUUUUUUUGCAAACAAUAUCAAGAUCAGAGGUUUUGUUAUCAUCAUCUACAUUCUCUGAUUUAUGUAGUGUCUAUGAACGUUAAUCAUGUCUUGGACAUUUAUCAAACUUACUGAUUUUUGUUUAUUUUGAUUUUCAUGUGAAUCCCUAAAUCUUGGAUAACAAUCGGACUCCGAUCAUUCAACAAGCAACAGAGUUCGUCGACCAAAACAGUUAUGGAUCCUAAAAACAAUGCUCCAAUCGUUUUUAAAGUUGAUUGAUGACUAUCAUCCUAUAUUUU